rnacentral:rRNA from 1 species
UACGUAGGAGGCGAGCGUUGUCCGGAUUUACUGGGCGUAAAGCGCGCGCAGGCGGCAUGGCAAGUAAGGUGUGAAAUCUCCCUGCCUAACGGGGAGGGUGCACUUUAGACUGCCAAGCUAGAGGACGGUAGAGGGGGGUAGAAUUGCUGGUGUAGCGGUGAAAUGCGUAGAGAUCGGCAGGAACACCCAGGGGGAAACCAGCCGACUGGGCACAUGCUGACGCUGAGGUGCGAGAGCGUGGGGAGCGAACCGG